CUAGACAAGUCUUUACACUAUACGAUUUAUUGAGGGGGUCCCCAUAACAACCCCGAACGUGUUAGGAGCGCUCAGUUAUGGAAUAAAACACCGGUAUCCGAAGCUAAGGCGGCAACAACGGAACAAAUCACCCGGCAAAAGGCCAGGGCUUCCGUUAUUUACCAAAUGAAUAUGAUGAUAUCAAAUUGCCCAUGUUAUNNNNNNNAGGAAAUAAGAUAAGGAGGGGGACCCACCUGGCAAUGACCAGGGCCCCCUCACAAGAUGACAUGUGGGCCCCUGUGGCCCACUGUCAUCCACACACACACAAUACACACUACCUGCAACUACACAGCACACACACUGAAAGGAAUAUGCUCACGAAAAAUAGGUGCAAGGGGGAUCGAACCCCUGACCUCAACUACACACACACGCACUGACCAGUAGGCUAGCACACGCUAGUUGAUCUAACAAAGGCACCAGACAUGGUAAGCUAGUACUUGCAACUAAAUAUAACACCCAAAAAACAACCAAAAAACAAAAGCUGUGUAGGGGGGACUCGAACCAAUGACCUCAGGAUCACUACGCUCGCG
rnacentral:lncRNA from 1 species